UAUAUAUGUGUAUCCCAUUGAAGUAGUUUUAAUAUAUUGUGGUAUAUAGGUUUAUGGUUCCUACCUUGUUCAAUAUUGAAUUUACUAACAACAAAAAUCUUCUACUUUUUUAUGAAGCUCAUUAAAUUAACGCUCUUUUGGUUUAAACAGCUUUGCAAAUGUUUUGUAUGCAUUAUUGCAGACAACUGUUAUUUUUGUUUUAUUAGAUUGUAUAUGUUAAUGCAUUUAUGUAUUUUAUGUUUGAGGAUUUUUGCAAACUCACUCCUUAUUCCACCACUUUAAAGGGGAGAGGGGGGGCAUGUAAACUUGCAAACCUCCAUAUUUUGGUUUGAAUAUUUUCAGCUGAACCCUUUGCCACUUAGAUACUUAUUUUGACACAUGUUUGGUCCCUUAGAAAGUUAAAUUUAAUGAAAGACCUUUCUUACUAGAUUCAAGUUUUAAAGGCUUCAUUUCAUGAGCAGCAAACAGCAUAAAACCUGAACAGUUUGCGAGUUACUCACAGGCUGUUCUGGUUUUAUGCUGGUUGCAAAAGACAUUUUCACAUCACUUCUUAUAGGGGAAAGGGUUAAACAAGGUUUAGGAAAUAAUAUCAUGUUUAACUUGUGUUCGCUGUAACUAAAAAAGAUUGCUGCUACACGACUGAAACAUUGCAAACAUAGCAACUGCAUGUAAACUUUGGCACCCCAUAUAUGUGUUCGCUAGUACUUGAUUAAACUGGAUAUAUAAAUUCAAACACUGAAUGCAUUUUCUUGGUUCCAAGUCUAUUCGUUAUCCUUAAGUCUAAGAAUGGGUUGGUGAAUACGAGCCCGGAGAUGGUGGGCGUAAUCCCCUCCCUGGGAUCGUUCUCAAGAUCAUCUAUAAGACACCAAGUACUGGUUGUUCUAAGGACUCGAAAGGCUGAAUAAGGGGAAGGAAAUCAAGGUUUAUUUAUUAGUUUUAAAUAAACUCAGCCCAAAAUGUGUAAUUCAUUUUUAUAAUUUGUUAACAUUGACAUUUGAAGUUAGCAAUCCCCAGUUAUGUCUUAAGUCUAAGAAUGGGUUAGUGUAUACGGGCCCGGUAGUUAUAGCCCCUUUGGGGGAAUCAAUGUCCUGCUGACACAUAUGUAGUUGCACUUGCUUGAUGCAGACUCCUGCUGACACAUAUGUAGUUGCACUUGCUUGAUGCAGACUCCUGCUGACACAUAUGUAGUUGCACUUGCUUGAUGCAGACUCCUGCUGACAAAUAUGUAGUUGCACUUGCUUGAUGCAGACUCCUGCUGACACAUAUGUAGUUGCACUUGCUUGAUGCAGACUCCUGCUGACACAUAUGUAGUUGCACUUGCUUGAUGCAGGCUGCCCAGGCUAAUCUGGGACAACACUUUUCCCAGAGCAAGGCUCAAAGGAGGGUGUUUCAUUGAAGUGUAUGGUUGUCUAUAUUUUUCAUUUAAGUGUAUGGUUGUCUAUAUUUUUCAUUGAAGUGUAUGGUUGUCUAUAUGUUUCAUUGAAGUGCAUGGUUGUCUAUAUUUUUCAUUGAAGUGUAUGGUUGUCUAUAUGUUUCAUUGAAGUGUAUGGUUGUCUAUAUGUUUCAUUGAAGUGUAUGGUUGUCUAUAUGUUUCAUUGAAGUGUAUGGUUGUCUAUAUGUUUCAUUGAAGUGUAUGGUUGUCUAUAUGUUUCAUUGAAGUGUAUGGUUGUCUAUAUUUUUCAUUUAAGUGUAUGGUUUUCUAUAUGUUUCAUUGAAGUGUAUGGUUGUCUAUAUGUUUCAUUGAAGUGUAUGGUUAUCUAUAUGUUUCAUUGAAGUGUAUGGUUGUCUAUAUUUUUCAUUGAAGUGUAUGGUUGUCUAUAUUGAAAUGUAUGGUUGUCUGUAUUUUUCAUUUAAGUGUAUGGUUGUCUGUAUUUUUCAUUGAAAUGUAUGGUUGUCUAUAUUGAAAUGUAUGGUUGUAUGUAUUUUUCAUUGAAGUGUAUGAUUAUCUAUAUGUUUCAUUGAAGUGUAUGGUUGUCUGUAUUUUUCAUUGAAGUGUAUGGUUGUCUGUAUUUUUCAUUGAAGUGUAUGGUUAUGUAUGGUUGUAUAUAUCUUUCAUUGAAGUGUAUGGUUAUCUCUAUUUUGCAUUGAAGUGUAUGGUUAUCCAUAUUUUUCAUUGAAGUGUAUGGUUAUCUAUAUUUUUCAUUGAAGUGUAUGGUUGUCUAUAUUUUUCAUUGAAGUGUAUGGUUGUCUAUAUUUUUCAUUGAAGUGUAUGGUUGUCUAUAUUUUUCAUUGAAGUGUAUGGUUGUUUAUAUUUUUCAUUGAAGUGUAUGGUUGUCUAUAUUUUUCAUUGAAGUGUAUGGUUAUCUAUAUGUUUCAUUGAAGUGUAUGGUUGUCUAUAUUUUUCAUUGAAGUGUAUGGUUGUCUAUAUUUUUCAUUGAAGUGUAUGGUUGUCUUUAUUUUUCAUUGUAGUGUAUGGUUGUCUAUAUUUAUGCCCCCCUUCGAAGAAGAGGGGGUAUAUUGCUUUGCUCAUGUCGGUCGGUCGGUCGGUAUGUCGGUCCGUCCACCAGGUGGUUGUCGGAUGAUAACUCAAGAACGCAUACGCCUAUGAUCAUGAAACUUCAUAGGUAGAUUGAUCAUGACUCGUAGAUGACCCCUAUUGAUUUUGAGGUCACUAGGUCAAAGGUCAAGGUCACGGUGACCCGAAAUAGUAAAAUGGUUUUCGGAUGAUAACUCAAGAACGCAUACGCCUAUAAUCAUGAAACUUCAUGGGUAGAUUGAUCAUGACUUGCAGAUGACCCCUAUUGAUUUUGAGGUCACUAGGUCAAAGGUCAAGGUCACGGUGACCCGAAAUAGUAAAAUGGUUUCCGGAUGAUAACUCAAGAAUGCAUACGCCUAGGAUCAUGAAACUUCAUGGGUAGAUUGAUAAAGACUCGCAGAUGACCCCUAUUGAUUUUGAGGUCACUAGGUCAAAGGUCAAGGUCACGGUGACCCGAAAUAGUAAAAUGGUUUCCGGAUGAUAACUCAAGAACGCAUACGCCUAGGAUCAUGAAACUUCAUGGGUAGAUUGAUCAUGACUUGCAGAUGACCCCUAUUGAUUUUGAGGUCACUAGGUCAAAGGUCAAGGUCACGGUGACCCGAAAUAGUAAAAUGGGUUCCUGAUGAUAACUCAAGAAUGCAUAUGCCUACGAUCAUGAAACUUCAUGGGUAGAUUGAUCAAGACUCGCAGAUGACCCCUAUUGAUUUUGAGGUCACUAGGUCCAAGGUCACGGUGACCCGAAAUAGUAAAAUGGUUUCCGAAUGAUAACUCAAGAAUGCAUACGCCUAGGAUCAUGAAACUUCAUGGGUAGAUUGAUCAUUACUCGCAGAUGACCCCUAUUGAUUUUGAGGUCACUAGGUCAAAGGUCAAGGUCACGGUGACCCGAAAUAGUAAAAUGGUUUUCGGAUGAUAACUCAAGAACGCAUACGCCUAGGAUCAUGAAACUUCAUGGGUAGAUUGAUCAUGACUUGCAGAUGACCCCUAUUGAUUUUGAGGUCACUAGGUCAAAGGUCAAGGUCACGGUGACCCGAAAUAGAAAAAUGGUUUCCGGAUGAUAACUCAAGAACGCAUACGCCUAGGAUCAUGAAACUUCAUUGGUAGAUUGAUUAUGAUUUGCAGAUGACCCCUAUUGAUUUUGAGGUCACUAGGUCAAAGGUCAAGGUCACGGUGACCCGAAAUAGUAAAAUGGUUUCCGGAUGAUAACUCAAGAAUGCAUACGCCUAGGAUCAUGAAACUUCAUGGGUAGAUUGAUCAUGACUUGAAGAUGACCCCUAUUGAUUUUGAGGUCACUAGGUCAAAGGUCAAGGUCACGGUGACCCGAAAUAGUAAAAUGGUUUCCGGAUGAUAACUCAAGAACGCAUACGCCUAAAAUCAUGAAACUUCAUGGGUAGAUUGAUCAUGACUUGCAGAUGACCCCUAUUGAUUUUGAGGUCACUAGGUCAAAGGUCAAGGUCACGGUGACCCGAAAUAGUAAAAUGGUUUCCGGAUGAUAACUCAAGAAUGCAUACGCCUAGGAUCAUGAAACUUCAUGGGUAGAUUGAUCAUGACUUGAAGAUGACCCCUAUUGAUUUUGAGGUCACUAGGUCAAAGGUCAAGGUCACGGUGACCCGAAAUAGUAAAAUGGUUUCCGGAUGAUAACUCAAGAACGCAUACGCCUAGGAUCAUGAAACUUCAUGGGUAGAUUGAUCAUGACUUGCAGAUGACCCCUAUUGAUUUUGAGGUCACUAGGUCAAAGGUCAAGGUCACGGUGACCCGAAAUAGUAAAAUGGUUUCCGGAUGAUAACUCAAGAAUGCAUACGCCUAGGAUCAUGAAACUUCAUGGGUAGAUUGAUCAAGACUCGCAGAUGACCCCUAUUGAUUUUGAGGUCACUAGGUCAAAGGUCAAGGUCACGGUGACCCGAAAUAGUAAAAUGGUUUCCGAAUGAUAACUCAAGAAUGCAUACGCCUAGGAUCAUGAAACUUCAUGGGUAGAUUGAUCAUGACUCGCAGAUGACCCCUAUUGGUUUUGAGGUCACUAGGUCAAAGGUCAAGGUCACGGUGACCCGAAAUAGUAAAAUGGUGUCCGGAUGAUAACUCAAGAACGCAUAUGCCUAGGAUCAUGAAACAUCAUAGGUAGAUUGAUCAUGACUCGCAGAUGACCCCUAUUGAUUUUGAGGUCACAAGGUCAAAGGUCAAGGUCACGGUGACCCGAAAUAUUAAAAUGAUUUUUGGAUGAUAACUCAAGAACGCUUUUGCCUAGGAUCAUGACACUUCAUAGGUACACUAGGUCAAAGGUCAAGGUCACAUUGACAAAAAACGUAUUCACACAAUGGCUGCCACUACAACGGACAGCCCAUAUUUUAUUCUUUUUCCACACUGUCCAUUUAAGAGACUUACAAAUUGAAUUUUUGACACAUGUUCAUUCAUAAUGAUGUAUAAGCCUUUGUUUUUGUGCCAGUAAAUACUAUGUUUAUGGAAAUGACGAGAUAAUUUAACAUUUAAAAAACCAAUGUAAUAUGAUAUGGCAACAGGACAGUUGUGAUUUGCUGGGUCAAUUCUAUUAAGCUUGAUCAUCCAAGAUGUUGAUAGCUUUGACAAACUGGUGGUCUGAAACAUUGAGAAAAUGUCACGGUUCACUGACAAUAAAUCAAACAUGUAAUUCUUGCUACGCAUCUUGCAUUUAAUUUUGUCAAUUCAAAUUAUACAUAAAAAUAUAAUUAAUUUUUAAUCUGCUUGUUAAUUGAAAAACAGCAACACAGUUUGUAUGUAUAAAACAAUGUUAAUACAUAAAUAGGAUCAAGCAUAUUAAAAUAUCAACUUAGAUUUAGUUUCCUUUACUGUACAGGAUUUGUAAAGUUAGGUUAAUAUUUGUGUAUUGAACAAAAAUAACAACAGUGUAAAGAAAAGUUAAUUUGGGGAUGUUCUAUCCAAACCCUGAGAGUUCAGAUUUCCUCAAAUGCCAAGUAAAGAUUGUAAAUUUCAACCCACUCCUCUGGUUAGUUUUCAGAGCGCACAUAUAAUUAACUUAUGAGCUUAAUGUCUCAUUUGUACAUGCAUAACUGUAUUAACUCCAAACCAACUAGUACAAGUGGUAGGCCAGUAUUACAUGGACUGGUGUUCACUGUUUACACCAUUUCACAACCCCAUCUGAUACUGGUCAGUAUCUUGGCAAGUGGCCAAAGUUGGGAGUGGAAUUAAUGGUCUAUUACAUAACUGACUUCUGUGUGUGGUAAACACAUGAUACUGGUCAUGUGGUAAAGUUGCACUUGUAUACAUUUGCCCAAUACACAACACUAGCCUUGGCUAUUUUUAAUCAGAUUGCAUUGCUAUCUAUGGUGGUCAUUGACUAGGGGAGUUAACUGCUACAAAUAACAUGUUUCAUUACCAUUAAUUAAUAAAUAAAACAUUACAAAUUGUGUGCAUGUUUCACAUAUUGUCAAAUAAGUCAAAAUGUGUGAAAGGAAUCCAAAAAAUCAAAGACUCAAUCAUCUAAUGGAUAUAAUUGAUUAGUAUAGCUCCUGAUUGGUUUUUGCACUAUUAAUUGGAUACAUUUCACAGGUCAUGGACAUAAGUGUCAUAAAUUGUAGACAGAAUGUAAAGAGAAUUUCAUCUUAGUUUUAAUAAGUAAAUGAUUCCAUGAUACUUAUUGGAUUUUAUUUCAAGGUCACAGUGACAAAAAACAUAUUCACACAAUGGCUGUCACUACAACGGAGAGCCCAUAUGGGGGGCAUGCAUGUUUUACAAACAGCCCUUGUUUUCAUUGAAUUGUAUGGUUGUCUAUAUUUGUUGUAUUGAAUUGUAUGGUUAUCUAUAUUUUUCAUUGAAGUGUAUGGUUGUCUAUAUUUGUUGUAUUGAAUUGUAUGGUUGUCUGUAUUUUUAAUUGAAGUGUAUGGUUGUCUAUAUUUUUCAUUGAAGUGUAUGGUUGUCUAUAUUUUUAAUUGAAGUGUAUUGUUGUCUAUAUUUUUAAUUGAAGUGUAUGGUUAUCUAUAUUAUUAAUUGAAGUGUAUGGUUGUCUAUAUUUUUAUACACUUUUUUACAUGUGUAAACAAUCAAACAUGUUGAAACAAUCAUGGGGAAAAUGCUAUAAUUAUUGCAUAAUAAUUAUUCAUGAAAAUGAUUUUUAUUCAUAUUUAACAAAGAUAAAAUGAGAUGUGUAUCUGUAGAAAUGAUUUUACUGAAAAUAUGUAUUUUUAUUGUCUGUUUAGUAAUGUCAUGUUACUCUUUGUAAAGAUCUUGUAUACAUAUAUACAUAUACAAAAUAAUUUCUAUGUCUAUACAUGUAUUUGUUAAUACCCAACAUUAUUUAUUAAUGAUGAAAUAUAAAUUGAUCAAUAUGGUUAGUUAACAUUCAUACUCAACUUGAUGUUGAAGAAGCUUAUCAUGUUAGGACAAUCAUUCUUAUUCAAGUUUAUACUGGAUGUAUCUUUGAAUCAACUUCUCAAUAACAGAUUGAAUUACCCUUCUCACCUAUUUGUUGGCAUCAUCUUGAAAACCUAUGCGGUUUGUAUGAAACUAAGGAAAUCUGCAACCGGUACAUAUAUUUUGCUGAAUGAAUACUGAUCAUAUAUGUUGGAUCAUGAUUAUACAAGGUCAUAUUGAUCAUGAUAAAGGUCACAUGGACCAUCAUACAAGGUCACAUUGAUUAUGAUACAAGGUCACAUUGAUCAUGAUACAAGGUCACAUGGAUCAUGAUACAAGGUCACAUGGAUAACAGUUCAAGGUCACAUGGAUCAUAAUACAAGGUCACAUGGAUCACAGUUCAAGGUCACAUGGAUCGUGAUACAAGGUCAAAUGGAUCAUGAAACAAGGUCACAUAGAUCAUUAUACACGGUCACAUGGAUCAUUAUACAAGGUCACAUGGAUCAUUAUAUAAUGGAAGAUAAAUUGCCAGCUGUCAAGGAACCAAACCGAUUUAUUAAUUUACACAAAAUAGUUUUACUCGUAGUAAUAAAUAAGCAUUAUAUCUAAAAUAAGAUUGUUGACAGAGCAAUAUUUUACCGGUAUUUGGCACUUCGUCAAUGUUAUCCUUGUCUCGAAAACGUACUGUAUCAGUGUACUUGGGACAUUCAAUAUAAAUUGUCCUUGUGACCAUAAGGUUAUUAUUUUCAAACACUUAAUGAAAUAAGAGUAAAAAGUCGAGUGUACUGUUCAUAGGCUUUUCUUGUUUCUUCUUUAAAUUUCUGUAUUAUUGUUUAUUCUCAAUUCAAAUAUACUUAUAUCUCAAAUGUA